ensembl:lncRNA
UCUGAUUUGAGACUAACAGACAUUUUCCUCUUGGCUUUUCCAUCCCCACACAGUCAACCUCAAAUAUGCUCUAGCCACCCCGAGGAUAGCCUCAGGCUAAUAACGCUUGUGCUAAGCACCCACCAACUCAUAUACAACACAUGGCAGACUCAGAUAUUAAUCACUAUAUUAAGCCUCAUCUCACUAUUUAGUACAGCACAUGGGCAAACUCUAAUUCACACUAAUAGAUUUAUAACCCCCUCACACUAUGUGGUGAAGGGGACGUGUCAACAAAGACUGGAUCCAUAUGCUGGCUUUAUUCAGAAGCUUAGUCGAAGAGGCAGGGUCAAACACCAGAAAAACAGUCAAAUCCAAAGCACAGGCAAAGAGUACUCCAAUACACAGAUAAUGGGUCAGGGUAGGCAGCAAACAAUACAAACGAGGAAAGAGUCAGAGAUCAAAAACCACAAGAACAAGGAAACUAGGGAACACAGGAACUAGGAAAACGUAAUAGGAUAUCAUUCAAUCACCAGCGAUGUGAGGAUGUGUUUGUGCUGUUCUUAUAGUGUGAGGCCAUUGAGAGACAGGUGAUUGCAAUUGAUGAUGAGUCUGGGCAAAGGAUUAUGGGAAAUGGAGUCCAGGGUGAAGUGGCAAGAGUCUGAAAUGGAGUGCCCUCUAGCAAAUCUCACGGGCGCUUCUACUAGAGAAUCAUGACACACUAGAUUAUAGAUAGAACUCUAAUUAUUCAAUAUCGUCCGACAGAUUAAUCAACUUUAUUGACCCAGGAUGGAUUAUGUCCUGAGUGCCCCAUCAGACUUCUGCUGCUAUCACAAAUGUUUGGUGAACAGUAAAGGUUAAGGGAAAUCAAGGGAAUCACAAAAUAAAUGUAAAACAAAUGUGCCGCCCAUUUUGUUACACAUUUUGAAAUUGUAGUCAUUUCAUCUCAUACUUUACGUGUAUCUCUAUUCUCAUCUAUAUAUACAGUACAUUCAGAAUACUCAAUCUGUUGUAUUCAACUCUUCAUGCUAUAAAUUAUUCAAAGUAUGUAUGGCCUACAUAACCUUCAAACUUCAAGGCUUUUUAAAAAGGUUUUUUAAAACGAAAUCUUCAUCAAGCCAACAUAAAAGUUUGUCUUAAUACUAUUUCCUUUUCAUGUUUAAUAUAUUAUUGCCACACACUCAAGAACUGUUUGUCUCAAUUUUAUGUUUUUUCUGGCUUUUUUUCUAGAUGUCAGACUGACA